GACGAACGCUGGCGGCGUGCUUAACACAUGCAAGUCGAACGGUGAGGCUCAGCUUUUGUGGGGUGCAUGAGUGGCGAACGGGUGAGUAACACGUGAGUAACCUGCCUCUGUCUUUGGGAUAACUUCAGGAAACGGGUGCUAAUACUGGAUAUUAGCUGGUCUUCCCUGGGGGGGUGGGGAAAGGUGCUUUGGUGGUGGGGGGUGGGCCCGCGGCUUAUCAGCUUGUUGGGGGGGUGGUGGCUUACCGAGGCUAUGACGGGUAGGCGGCCUGAGGGGGUGACCGGCCACAUUGGGACUGGGAUACGGCCCAGACUCCUACGGGGGGCAGCAGUGGGGAAUAUUGAACAAUGGGCGGAAGCCUGAUGCAGAAACGCCGCGUGCGGGAUGACGGCCUUCGGGUUGUAACCCGCUUUCGCCUGUGACGAAGCGUGAGUGACGGUAAUGGGUAAAGAAGCACCGGCUAACUACGUG
rnacentral:rRNA from 1 species